rnacentral:rRNA from 1 species
AUUGAGCGCUGGCGGCAGGCCUAACACAUGCAAGUCGAGCGGAUGAAGGGAGCUUGCUCCUGGAUUCAGCGGCGGACGGGUGAGUAAUGCCUAGGAAUCUGCCUGGUAGUGGGGGAUAACGUCCGGAAACGGGCGCUAAUACCGCAUACGUCCUGAGGGAGAAGGUGGGGGAUCUUCGGACCUCACGCUAUCAGAUGAGCCUAGGUCGGAUUAGCUAGUUGGUGGGGUAAAGGCCUACCAAGGCGACGAUCCGUAACUGGUCUGAGAGGAUGAUCAGUCACACUGGAACUUAGACACGGUCCAGACUCCUACGGGAGGCAGCAGUGGGGAAUAUUGGACAAUGGGCGAAAGCCUGAUCCAGCCAUGCCGCGUGUGUGAAGAAGGUCUUCGGAUUGUAAAGCACUUUAAGUUGGGAGGAAGGGCAGUAAGUUAAUACCUUGCUGUUUUGACGUUACCAACAGAAUAAGCACCGGCUAACUUCGUG